UGACUUCGGGGGACGAUAACGGCGUCGAGCGGCGGACGGGUGAGUAAUGCCUAGGAAAUUGCCCUGAUGUGGGGGAUAACCAUUGGAAACGAUGGCUAAUACCGCAUGAUGCCUACGGGCCAAAGAGGGGGACCUUCGGGCCUCUCGCGUCAGGAUAUGCCUAGGUGGGAUUAGCUAGUUGGUGAGGUAAGGGCUCACCAAGGCGACGAUCCCUAGCUGGUCUGAGAGGAUGAUCAGCCACACUGGAACUGAGACACGGUCCAGACUCCUACGGGAGGCAGCAGUGGGGAAUAUUGCACAAUGGGCGCAAGCCUGAUGCAGCCAUGCCGCGUGUGUGAAGAAGGCCUUCGGGUUGUAAAGCACUUUCAGUCGUGAGGAAGGUGGUGUAGUUAAUAGCUGCAUUAUUUGACGUUAGCGACAGAAGAAGCACCGGCUAACUCCGUGCCAGCAGCCGCGGUAAUACGGAGGGUGCGAGCGUUAAUCGGAAUUACUGGGCGU
rnacentral:rRNA from 1 species